ensembl:lncRNA COL1A2 antisense RNA 1
AGCAUUUGGUGGGAGGCCCUGGACCUAGAAACAAAAAAUGAAAGUGGAGAAAACCAAACAAGAAUCUUUCUUUCUUAAAGUAAACAUCGGACUGACAUCUCCUUUCAAACAUUCAUUGAGGAUCUACUCUGUGAGAAGAAGCAAUACCAUGUUAUCUCAUUCUAGUUCCAGUUCUAGUUGACUUGAUUGUCAAACGACUGCUAAGAAGUAGAGAGGAGGCUUCACCAUGUUUGCCAGGCUAGUCUGGAACUCUUGACCUCAGGUGAUCCACCCACCUCGGCCUCCCAAAGUGCUAGGAUUACAGGCAUGAGCCACCUCGCCCAGCUGUUUCUGUGUCACGUUUUGAUACUUGAAUAAAAAUGACACUUUGGAGCCUUGAAAAAUGGACUUUCCUUCUGAAGUACCCAGGAGAGUAGGAUGGACUUCUUCCUCUCUCCCUACACUAUCCCUUGGAGAAAACCUUUUAUCAAGAAGAUACCAAAUAUCAUCACUGAUAUAAUGUCAGAGGAGGCCACUCUCUAUAGCCCAACCUCCAGGAUUUCAGCACUUCGUGGACAUGGAGGCUGGUGAAAUAGAGGAGAUGACAUGAAUGAGGGACUACAUUGGAAUGAAGAAGAACCUGGAGGAGGUAAAAAAACUGAAGGCUCCGGAUGUCGGACGAUGGAAAAUAAAAACAACAAGCAAGUGAAACUCCCUGACUUAUCAACCUUACUCAAGAAAUGGGAAUUUCUGCCCUAGAGAGGUCUUGGAAACUUUCUCACCAGAAGAGCACAACUUGAUGGCAGGAAGCUCCUGAUGGAGGCCUGAAAAUGGCCCUGAAAGGGAUGCCAGGGGACCAGGGCUCCACUAUUAUCAGCGUGUGACUUUGGACAAGGAUGUUAAUGGCUCUGUGACUCAGUUACCUCUUCUGUACUUUGCUUAGGGGUCUAUUGCUUUCCAUUUUGUCUUUUUCAUUUGUUAAAUCCAAUGAUGUCACUGACAGUAAAAACUAGUAAAUAGUAAAAAAAAAAAAAAAAAAAAGUAAAA